AGAGUUUGAUCCUGGCUCAGGAUGAACGCUAGCUACAGGCUUAACACAUGCAAGUCGAGGGGAAACGACAUCGAAAGCUUGCUUUUGAUGGGCGUCGACCGGCGCACGGGUGAGUAACGCGUAUCCAACCUGCCCGUCACUUGGGGAUAACCUUGCGAAAGUAAGACUAAUACCCGAUGAUAUCUCUAGACGACAUCUGAAAGGGAUUAAAGAUCUAUCGGUGAUGGAUGGGGAUGCGUCUGAUUAGCUUGUUGGCGGGGUAACGGCCCACCAAGGCGACGAUCAGUAGGGGUUCUGAGAGGAAGGUCCCCCACAUUGGAACUGAGACACGGUCCAAACUCCUACGGGAGGCAGCAGUGAGGAAUAUUGGUCAAUGGGCGAGAGCCUGAACCAGCCAAGUAGCGUGCAGGACGACGGCCCUAUGGGUUGUAAACUGCUUUUAUAAGGGAAUAAAGUGGGUCACGUGUGACUUUUUGCAUGUACCUUAUGAAUAAGGACCGGCUAAUUCCGUGCCAGCAGCCGCGGUAAUACGGAAGGUCCGGGCGUUAUCCGGAUUUAUUGGGUUUAAAGGG
rnacentral:rRNA from 1 species